rnacentral:rRNA from 1 species
AUUGAACGCUGGCGGAAUGCUUUACACAUGCAAGUCGAACGGUAGAGGGGGCAACCCCUCGAGAGUGGCGAACGGGUGAGUAAUAUAUCGGAACGUGCCCAGUCGUGGGGGAUAACGUAGCGAAAGUUACGCUAAUACCGCAUACGAUCUAAGGAUGAAAGCGGGGGAUCGCAAGACCUCGCGCGAUUGGCGCGGCCGAUAUCAGGUUAGGUAGUUGGUGGGGGAAAGGCUCACCAAGCCAACGAUCUGCAGCUGGUCGGGGAGGACGACCAGCCAAAGUGGAACUGAGACACGGUCCAGACUCCAACGGGAGUCAGCAGUGGGGAAUUUUGGACAAUGGACGCAAGUCUGAUCCAGCCAUUCCGCGUGCAGGAGGAAGGCCCUCGGGUUGUAAACUGCUUUUGUACGGAACGAAAAGGUCUCUCUUAAUACGGGGGACUCAUGACGGUACCGUAAGAAUAAGCACCGGCUAACUACGUGCCAGCCGCCGCCGUAAAAC